GUGCCAGCCGCCGCGGUAAUACCGGCAGCCCGAGUGAUGGCCGAUCUUAUUGGGCCUAAAGCGUCCGUAGCUGGCUGCGCAAGUCCGUCGGGAAAUCCACUCGCCCAACGAGUGGGCGUCCGACGGAAACUGCACAGCUUGGGACCGGAAGGCGCGACGGGUACGUCCGGGGUAGGAGUGAAAUCCUGUAAUCCUGGACGGACCACCGGUGGCGAAAGCGCCUUCGGAAGACGGAUCCGACAGUGAGGGACGAAAGCCAGGGUCUCCAACCGGAUUAGAUACCCUUGUAGUCC
rnacentral:rRNA from 1 species